rnacentral:snRNA from 1 species
GUACUCUCUUCAGCAGCACCUAUACUAAAUGGGAACGAGACAGAGACGGUUAGCAUGGCCCUUGGGCAAGGAUGACACACAAAACCAAAAAUAAGUUAAAAACAUAA